rnacentral:tRNA from 1 species
ACUUAUAUAAUAUAAACAAUUAUAUUUGACUUCCAAUCAAAAAAUCUAUACUUUAGUAUAAGUA